GGAGAGGUGCCAGAGCGGCUGAAUGGGCACGACUGGAAAUCGUGUGUGCGUUUGCGCGUACCGAGGGUUCGAAUCCCUCUCUCUCCG
rnacentral:tRNA from 2 species